rnacentral:misc_RNA from 1 species
AUUUAAGUGUUGUAAAAAUAGAGAAUUAAAAAUAACAAUAAAUUAUUCACUUACACAUGGAGUAAUUAUAAUCUUAUAUGACAUUUGAAUUUCAUUUUUUUUUUUGAACCAAGAGAUAGAAAGAUGGUGGAGUUUAUGCCAAACCAACAACUCUAUGUAGUAAUUGUAAUCUUGUUUAACAUUCGUGUAAAUUUGUUCCUCAGACAAGAAGUCUAAAAGGAGAGUUUCAAUGCUAAGCAACCCUUCUGAACUUCGAACUAAUUUUGCAUGUCCAGAGACUCGAUCCUUUAGAAUUUGGCAUCUCUUAUCAGAACAAGCCUUUCUGUUGUGGAGGACUGAAAGCUACUUGCAAAAUUAGGAAUUGAAAGAACCCAUCGUUAGCAUCCAAACAAUUAACGCAGGGUUCGAAUAAGUGCCUAGAGAAGGAUAAAAAAAUUGAA